rnacentral:rRNA from 1 species
UACGGGGGGGGCAAGCGUUGUUCGGAAUUACUGGGCGUAAAGGGCUCGUAGGCGGCCAACUAAGUCGGAUGUGAAAUCCCCAGGCUUAACCUGGGAACUGCAUCCGAUACUGGAUGGCUUGAAUCCGGGAGAGGGAUGCAGAAUUCCAGGUGUAGCGGUGAAAUGCGCAGAUAUCAGGAGGAACACCGGUGGCGAAGGCGGUUCUCUGGGCAGUAACUGACGCUGAGGAGCGAAAGCGUGGGGAGCGAACAGG